rnacentral:rRNA from 1 species
GUUUGAUCCUGGCUCAGAACGAACGCUGGCGGCGUGUCUUAAGCAUGCAAGUCGAACGAUAACUUGAAGCUUGCUUCAAGGGACAGUGGCAAACGGGUGAGUAACACGUGGGUAACCUGCCUUCGGAUGGGGGAUAGCAUUAGGAAACUAGUGGUAAUACCGCAUAACACCGAUUGGUCAUAAGACCGCUCGGUCAAAGGCGCUUUCGGGCGUCGUCUGGAGAUGGGCCCGCGGACUAUUAGCUUGUUGGUAGGGUAAUGGCCUACCAAGGCAACGAUGGAUAGCCGGCCUGAGAGGGUGUACGGCCACAUUGGGACUGAGAUACGGCCCAGACUCCUACGGGAGGCAGCAGCUAAGAAUAUUCCGCAAUGGGCGCAAGCCUGACGGAGCGACGCCGCGUGGAGGAUGAAGGCUUUCGGGUUGUAAACUCCUUUUCUUAGGGAAGAAUAAAGUUGGCAGGAAAUGGCCGACCGAUGACGGUACCUAAGGAAUAAGCCCCGGCUAAUUACGUGCCAGCAGCCGCGGUAAUACGUAUGGGGCAAGCGUUGUUCGGAUUCACUGGGCGUAAAGGGCGUGUAGGCGGUGUGGUAAGUCGGAUGUGAAAUCUCCAGGCUCAACCUGGAAACUGCAUUCGAAACUGCCAUGCUUGAGUACCGGAGAGGGAAACGGAAUUCCUGGUGUAGGGGUGAAAUCUGUAGAUAUCAGGAAGAACACCGGUGGCGAAGGCGGUUUCCUGGCCGGAUACUGACGCUGAGGCGCGAAAGCUAGGGGAGCAAACAGGAUUAGAUACCCUGGUAGUCCUAGCUGUAAACGUUGUGCACUAGGUGUAAGUGGUUUCAACCCACUUGUGCCGUAGCUAACGCAUUAAGUGCACCGCCUGGGGAGUAUGCUCGCAAGGGUGAAACUCAAAGGAAUUGACGGGGGCCCGCACAAGCGGUGGAGCAUGUGGUUUAAUUCGAUGAUACGCGAAGAACCUUACCAGGGUUUGACAUGCAGUCGACGGGAGCAGAGAUGUUCCUUUCUUUCGGGACGGCUGCACAGGUGCUGCAUGGCUGUCGUCAGCUCGUGUCGUGAGAUGUUGGGUUAAGUCCCGCAACGAGCGCAACCCUUACUCUAUGUUGCCAUCAGGCCGUAAGGUGCUGGGCACUCUUAGGGUACUGCCGGUGACAAACCGGAGGAAGGUGGGGACGACGUCAAAUCAUCAUGGCCCUUAUGCCCUGGGCUACACACGUGCUACAAUGGCUGGUACAAAGAGUUGCAAGACCGCGAGGUGGAGCUAAUCUCAAAAAACCAGCCCCAGUACAGAUUGAAGUCUGAAACUCGACUUCAUGAAGGUGGAAUCGCUAGUAAUCGCGCAUCAGCACGGCGCGGUGAAUACGUUCCCGGGCCUUGUACACACCGCCCGUCACACCACCCGAGUUGGGGAUACCCGAAGUCGCUAUCUUAACCUUCGGGGGAGAGGCGCCGAAGGUAUGCCUGGUAAGGGGGGUGAAGUCGGAACAAGGUAGCCGUACUGGAAAGUGCGGCUGGAUCACCUCCUU